GUCGAGCGGACGCCGAAUCCUGCCAGCGCUCGAUGACCACCCACCGACAGCUCAUGGCAGGAGCGGGGGACCCAGGUAAGUCGCCGGGCCGGAGCGCCGUACGUCGUACGCCGCGCCGGAACGGCUCGGGGUGAAGCCGUGCUCCAAGGAGCCGGCCGGGCACCUCCCCGCCCGAACCCGACAGCUCACCUCGCAGGCGACGGAGAGGAAAU
rnacentral:sRNA from 2 species